rnacentral:rRNA from 2 species
GAUUGGUGCUUGCAUCAUGAUUUACAUUUGAGUGAGUGGCGAACUGGUGAGUAACACGUGGGAAACCUGCCCAGAAGCGGGGGAUAACACCUGGAAACAGAUGCUAAUACCGCAUAACAACUUGGACCGCAUGGUCCGAGUUUGAAAGAUGGCUUCGGCUAUCACUUUUGGAUGGUCCCGCGGCGUAUUAGCUAGAUGGUGAGGUAACGGCUCACCAUGGCAAUGAUACGUAGCCGACCUGAGAGGGUAAUCGGCCACAUUGGGACUGAGACACGGCCCAAACUCCUACGGGAGGCAGCAGUAGGGAAUCUUCCACAAUGGACGAAAGUCUGAUGGAGCAACGCCGCGUGAGUGAAGAAGGGUUUCGGCUCGUAAAACUCUGUUGUUAAAGAAGAACAUAUCUGAGAGUAACUGUUCAGGUAUUGACGGUAUUUAACCAGAAAGCCACGGCUAACUACGUGCCAGCAGCCGCGGUAAUACGUAGGUGGCAAGCGUUGUCCGGAUUUAUUGGGCGUAAAGCGAGCGCAGGCGGUUUUUUAAGUCUGAUGUGAAAGCCUUCGGCUCAACCGAAGAAGUGCAUCGGAAACUGGGAAACUUGAGUGCAGAAGAGGACAGUGGAACUCCAUGUGUAGCGGUGAAAUGCGUAGAUAUAUGGAAGAACACCAGUGGCGAAGGCGGCUGUCUGGUCUGUAACUGACGCUGAGGCUCGAAAGUAUGGGUAGCAAACAGGAUUAGAUACCCUGGUAGUCCAUACCGUAAACGAUGAAUGCUAAGUGUUGGAGGGUUUCCGCCCUUCAGUGCUGCAGCUAACGCAUUAAGCAUUCCGCCUGGGGAGUACGGCCGCAAGGCUGAAACUCAAAGGAAUUGACGGGGGCCCGCACAAGCGGUGGAGCAUGUGGUUUAAUUCGAAGCUACGCGAAGAACCUUACCAGGUCUUGACAUACUAUGCAAAUCUAAGAGAUUAGACGUUCCCUUCGGGGACAUGGAUACAGGUGGUGCAUGGUUGUCGUCAGCUCGUGUCGUGAGAUGUUGGGUUAAGUCCCGCAACGAGCGCAACCCUUAUUAUCAGUUGCCAGCAUUAAGUUGGGCACUCUGGUGAGACUGCCGGUGACAAACCGGAGGAAGGUGGGGAUGACGUCAAAUCAUCAUGCCCCUUAUGACCUGGGCUACACACGUGCUACAAUGGAUGGUACACCGAGUUGCGAACUCGCGAGAGUAAGCUAAUCUCUUAAAGCCAUUCUCAGUUCGGAUUGUAGGCUGCAACUCGCCUACAUGAAGUCGGAAUCGCUAGUAAUCGCGGAUCAGCAUGCCGCGGUGAAUACGUUCCCGGGCCUUGUA